rnacentral:rRNA from 1 species
GUCUAAUGCCAUACCACCCUGAAUGCGCUUGAUCUUGUCUGAUCUUGGAAGCUAAGCAGGGUCGGACCUGGUUAGUACUUGGAUGGGAGAAAUGACUUCUCUUAAAAGAAAAGUGAUACUUAGGUC